rnacentral:rRNA from 1 species
AUGAACGCUGGCGGCAUGCCUAACACAUGCAAGUCGAACGAAGCCUUCGGGCUUAGUGGCGCACGGGUGCGUAACGCGUGGGAAUCUGCCCCUUGGUUCGGAAUAACAGUUAGAAAUGACUGCUAAUACCGGAUAACGACGUAAGUCCAAAGAUUUAUCGCCGAGGGAUGAGCCCGCGUAGGAUUAGCUAGUUGGUGUGGUAAAAGCGCACCAAGGCGACGAUCCUUAGCUGGUCUGAGAGGAUGAUCAGCCACACUGGGACUGAGACACGGCCCAGACUCCUACGGGAGGCAGCAGUGGGGAAUAUUGGACAAUGGGCGAAAGCCUGAUCCAGCAAUGCCGCGUGAGUGAUGAAGGCCUUAGGGUUGUAAAGUUCUUUUAGUGGGGAAGAUAAUGACGGUACCCACAGAAAAAGCACCGGCUAACUCCGU